rnacentral:rRNA from 1 species
GACGAACGCUGGCGGCGUGCUUAACACAUGCAAGUCGAGCGGUAAGGCCCUUCGGGGUACACGAGCGGCGAACGGGUGAGUAACACGUGGGUGACCUGCCCUCAGCUCUGGGAUAAGCCUGGGAAACCGGGUCUAAUACCGGAUAUGACUCCAUGACGCAUGUUGUGGGGUGGAAAGCCUUGUGCGGCUGAGGAUGGGCCCGCGGCCUAUCAGCUUGUUGGUGGGGUGAUGGCCUACCAAGGCGACGACGGGUAGCCGGCCUGAGAGGGCGACCGGCCACACUGGGACUGAGACACGGCCCAGACUCCUACGGGAGGCAGCAGUGGGGAAUCUUGCGCAAUGGGCGAAAGCCUGACGCAGCGACGCCGCGUGAGGGAUGACGGCCU